UACGUAGGCAGCAAGCGUUGUUCGGAGUUACUGGGCGUAAAGGGUGCGUAGGCGGCUUUUUAAGUUUGGUGUGAAAUCUCCCGGCUCAACUGGGAGGGUGCGCCGAAUACUGAGAGGCUAGAGUGUGGGAGAGGAAAGUGGAAUUCCUGGUGUAGCGGUGGAAUGCGUAGAUAUCAGGAGGAACACCGGUGGUGUAAACGGCUUUCUGGACCAUAACUGACGCUGAUGCACGAAAGCUAGGAGAGCAAACAGG
rnacentral:rRNA from 1 species